GUGACCUCAAAUCAGGUAGGACUACCCGCUGAACUUAAGCAUAUCAAUAAGCGGAGGAAAAGAAACUAACAAGGAUUCCCCUAGUAACUGCGAGUGAAGCGGGAAAAGCUCAAAUUUAAAAUCUGGCAGUCUUUGGCUGUCCGAGUUGUAAUCUAGAGAAGUGUUAUCCGCGCUGGACCGUGUACAAGUCUCCUGGAAUGGAGCGUCAUAGAGGGUGAGAAUCCCGUCUUUGACACGGACUACCAGGGCUUUGUGAUGCGCUCUCAAAGAGUCGAGUUGUUUGGGAAUGCAGCUCAAAAUGGGUGGUAAAUUCCAUCUAAAGCUAAAUAUUGGCGAGAGACCGAUAGCGAACAAGUACCGUGAGGGAAAGAUGAAAAGAACUUUGGAAAGAGAGUUAAACAGUACGUGAAAUUGCUGAAAGGGAAACGCUUGAAGUCAGUCGCGUUGUCCAGGGAUCAACCUUGCUUUUGCUUGGUGCACUUUCUGGUUGACGGGUCAGCAUCAAUUUUGACCAUUGGAAAAAGAUUAAGGGAAUGUGACAUCUUCGGAUGUGUUAUAGCCCUUGGUUGCAUACGAUGGUUGGGAUUGAGGAACUCAGCACGCCGCAAGGCCGGGUUUUAACCACGUACGUG
rnacentral:rRNA from 1 species